rnacentral:sRNA from 1 species
UUACAAGUUUCUAGAACUUUGAUUUUUACCAGGCUACUGGGGACGUGAGCAAAGUUCCUGGUGGGCAGAACGACAGCCUGGCAAGGGUGGCUAUAGAACGCCUGGGGUUAGCGUGGCGUGGUGCCACAGUAGAGCGGUCUGCAGAAUGUGAUGUGUGUCAGGUGUGGUAACAGCCCACCAAGAGGACCAUGUGAGAAAGCAGCUGGCAGAGAGACAGACAGCGCACGGCUCCCGAGAAUCCACACAGAGUGGGAACACGCAGGUACCCACCGGUCAUUUUUUGAUUUUUUUACCCCAACAUGAACAUCAGUCACAGGAAUGGCAAAAUGCAUACUCAGCUCAACUGCUGACGAAGCAGGCCCCACACCGCUUAAUAAAAGUCUACCUGAAGAAGAGCGUUCUUGCAGGAUAUGUGAUCACACUUCAAACCCCAAGGUUGUGUUAUUUACUAAAAAAAUACCUGUUCCUAGUUGUGGUGUGACUUACCCUUAGUGCACACCUAUGGAGAAAUCCUGAGGAUUAAGGUUGCAGUCUGCCAUUGUCAGGACGUCUCUCUUGAGCUCGGUACAAAAUGGAGGAUUCCUUUUAACGGUAGGGCUUCUCCUUCUCUGACCUUGUCUAGGCAUCUUGAAACCCCCACACCAUCUUCCUGAGGAAUGUCACAUGGCAUUGUCUGUGGUAGAAAGGGCACAGAAUCAGCAUCGGAGGAAAGAGUGUCAGAUGCACGUUCUAUGGAGGAAAAGUCAGAGAUAAAGUCUGAUCUGCUCAUCAGAGGACCCAACCAAGAGCGGACAUGGUGAGCUGAAUAGAAAUUCUCCAAAAAGCAUGUUGGAAAAAAAAAAAAGCCAGUAAGAACCUACAGCGAGCAUCUAAGCAAAGCCUUCCACAUCCCUGGGACAUCUCAAGGGUGACAUUCCCAACUGAAAUUAUUUCCUUUAAGCCAGUGGACCCCCCCCAUUCAUAUUUCCUAUGGAGAAGAUGACACUAUCCAGCGUUAAAGUCUCUUUGGAGUCUU